UCGCUUUGGGAGGAGCUCGCUUACUAUCAGCUUGUUGGUAGGGUAAUGGCCUACCAAGGCUAUGACGGUUAGGGGGUGUGAGAGCAUGACCCCCAGCAUUGGCACUGAAACACUGGCCAAACACCUACGGGUGGCUGCAGUCGAGAAUCUUCCACAAUGGGGGAAACCCUGAUGGAGCGAUGCUGCGUGCGGGAUGAAGGCCUUCGGGUUGUAAACCGCUUUUGUAGGGGACGAAAUUUUUUGACGGUACCCUUUCGAAUAAGAGGUUGCUAACUCUGUGCCAGCAGCAGCGGUAAUACAGAGACCUCAAGCGUUAUCCGGAUUUACUGGGCGUAAAGCGUCUGUAGGGGGUUUAUUAAGUUCCAAGUAAAAUUUCAAGGCUCAACUUUGAAUUCGCUUGGAAAACUAAUAAACUGGAGUCUAGCAGAGGUGCAUGGAACUUGUGGUGUAGGAGUGAAAUCCGUUGAUAUCACAAGGAACACCAAAGGCGAAGGCAUUGCACUGGGCUAGCACUGACCCUGAGAGACGAAAGCGUGGGGAGCAAAACGGAUUAGAUACCCGUGUAGUCCACGCCCUAAACGAUGGAUGCUAAAUGUUCGGGGAUUCGACCCCCUGGGUGUUACAGCUAACGCGUUAAGCAUUCCGCCUGGGAAGUACGGCCGCAAGGCUAAAACUCAAAGGAAUAGACGGGGAUCCGCACAAGCGGUGGAGCGUCUGGUUUAGUUCGACAGUAAGCGUGGUACCUCACCAGGGUUUGACAUCCCUUGACAGCCUUGGAAACAAGGUUUCCUUCGGGCAAGGUGACAGGUGCUGCAUGGUCGUCGUCAGUUCGUGCCGUGAGGUGUUCCGUUAAGUCGGGAAACGAACGAAACCCCUAUUGCAUGUUACAAUUUCUCAUGCAAGACUGCCCGGAUAUACUGGGAGGAAGGUGGGGAUGACGUCAGAUCUGCAUGGUCCUUAUACCCUGGGCGACACAGGCGCUACAAUGGCAGAGACAAAGGGUUGCAAAACCGCAAGGUGAAGCUAAUCCCAAAAACUUUGUCUAAGUUCGGAUUGAAGGCUGCAAUUCGCCUUCAUGAAGCUGGAAUCGCUAGUAAUCGUGAAUCAGCCACGUCACGGUGAAUAUGUUCCCGGAUCUUGUACUCACCGCCCGUCACACCAAGAGAGUUGGUAGCUCCCGAAGCGUCCCGUUUUAGCGGGGC
rnacentral:rRNA from 1 species